UACGUAGGGGGCAAGCGUUAUCCAGAUUUACUGGGCGUAAAGCGCGUGUAGGCGGCUGGUUAGGUGUGAUGUGAAAUCUUCCGGCUCAACCGGAAAACUGCAUUGCAAACCGGCCUGGCUAGAGUGCAGGAGAGGGAAGCGGAAUUCCAGGUGUAGCGGUGAAAUGCGUAGAUAUCUGGAGGAACACCGGUGGCGAAGGCGGCAUUCUGGACCAUAACUGACACUGAGAGACGAAAGCCAGGGGAGCAAACGGG
rnacentral:rRNA from 1 species